CUGAAAUGAAUACCCAUGCGUGAGAAGCAAUGAUGGUGUCUUGUGGAAAGCUUGCGCUCGCCGAGGCUGGAAAAUCCUUCAAAGAAAGGCUCUGGUGAUCCUGGGCAAUAAGGAAUUACCAUGCUGAUGGUGGAUCAAACCAAGACAAGCAGACAGCGGUGGAUGAAUGGGAGAAAUGAGCUGUGAUGAGCACGGAAGGUGGACCAAAUCUGGUGGCCAGGUGGUGCUGUGGCAGAAGAGACACCAAGGAGGAGUGGGGACGUCCUUGCAGGCAGCUCAGAGGAGAGUGGGCACUGGCUGCUGUGCUGCCUGGCCAUCGCAGGGGGUGUCUCUGGGUGCAGUGGGGUGGUGCAGAGCCAGCGUUCCCAAAGGGAAAGCCCUGCUGCUGACCAGAGCAGGGAGGACAGCAUGGCAGGGUGUGGGAGUCCUGUCCUCAGCUUGUAUUUGGGACCUUGGGUAUGGCACCAGGUGUCCUCAGAUAAAAUUGGCAGUGUAAGGGCUGGGAAUGCAGCCUGAUGGCCUGGGUCUGCAUGGGGACGUGGCUAUGGGGGGGCUCGGCACCACCGGUGCUGGUGCUGGCAUGACUGUGGUGGAGGGAAUUACGCACCUGGGUCAGGAUUUUGUUGCAGCCAAUGCUCCACCUAGGUUGAAAAGUUACUCUGUCCAGAGCAUGCUUUGGAUAGGGAAAUGCUUUCCUUUAAAUCUACCGUUCUGAGUAGUGCUGCCCUCCUCGUCUCCCCACUGGAGUGUCGUGGCUGCCCCCAGCCCUGCCGAUGGGGGGGACCCACCUGAGCUAAUGGCCUUCAUGGAAAAUCUACUAGCCUGAGCAAGCACAGGCACAAAAUGCAUUUGCCAAUCCUCAGGUCAUUUUUGCCAUGAACUGGACUAAGGAAAACUGUGCAGCUCCCUGUGUGCUGGCAGGUGGCAGCCGCGGGGUGGGAACCUCUUUAAUCAGCGCAUCAACCUGCAGAGAGCACCUGUAUCUUUCCCCUCCCCACCUCCUGCAAACACCACAACUGAUUUCUUGGCAGCUGGAAACUCCUCUGAACUCCGGUUCUUAACGAGCCAAGGGAGGACACGGCAGCAGGUAGGUUGACGGAGGUACCCGUGGGGUCGGUGUGUGUGCAGCAGUCGUUCAGCUCUGACCAUAAACACAAAGCUAUUACAGCUUGCUUCCCAGGGGUGGGAUGGGGAGCCCAAUCCUGAACACAAUUAGGGAGCCAAAGUACAUAGUUGACUCUUUCAGGUGUUCAACCCUUUGUUGAAUUUCUGCGGAGGGCUCUUGCGCUGUGGACAAAUGACUUCACCUGGAUGCAAACCAGAAAGUUUGGGUGUCCAUUGCCAAGGCCUUGUGGAACUGUCGGGCAUGGGGACAGGAAAACACACACAACCAAGCUGCUGAUUUACCACCCGUACAGCGGUUUUCCCCUGUAUAUUUUUAUGUCCCUAGCCCCAGUGAGUGUUGUGCUGGGAUGCAUGGAAAGUCUUUGCUGUGG
rnacentral:lncRNA from 1 species